UACGGGGGGGGGCGAGCGUUGUUCGGAAUUACUGGGCGUAAAGGGGUUUGUAGGUGGUCUGCUAAGUCAGACGUGAAAUCCCUCAGCUUAACUGGGGAACUGCGUCUGAUACUGGCGGACUUGAGGACAGGAGAGGGAUGCGGAAUUCCUGGUGUAGCGGUGAAAUGCGCAGAUAUCAGGAGGAACACCGGUGGCGAAGGCGGGUCUCUGGGCAACAACUGACGCUGAGGAGCGAAAGCGUGGGGAGCGAACAGG
rnacentral:rRNA from 1 species